rnacentral:rRNA from 1 species
AUGAAAUAUAUGUGCGCGCACCUCCUGGCGGAUGGAAUCACAACGGUGAAGCAUGGAGGUAGGACACAGCAGCAUCGGUGCAGACGACGCGGGGCACUGUGCCAGUGUGAUUGUGCUACCGCUGGCAGCACGUAUCCCUGGAAGCCAAGAGCUGAGAUGGGGUGUCCUCGUCAAGGUAAUAUGUACAUUUCAGAGCUUGCAUGCUCGUCAGAACAAACACGGGAUACUCCUCGUCUCCCGCCGAUGUCGCUGUUGUCAGUGAGCAUGCAAGGAAAACAGGAGACGGAUGCUGGCGUACACACCAUUAAGCAAUCAAAUUUGCAAAAGGAAAAAUCUUACCAGACCAUAUAA